rnacentral:rRNA from 1 species
AAAGUCGAUAACCGCAAGGAGUCGCCUAGGGUAAAACUAGUAACUGGGGCUAAGUCGUAACAAGGUAGCCGUAUCGGAAGGUGCGGCUGGAAUACCUCCUUUUUAGAGCUUUUA